rnacentral:rRNA from 1 species
UACGGAGGGUGCGAGCGUUGUCCGGAAUCACUGGGCGUAAAGGGCGCGUAGGCGGUCCGGUAAGCGCGCGGUGAAAGCCCGGGGCUCAACCCCGGGUCGGCCGUGCGGACUGCGGGACUGGAGCACUGUAGAGGCAGGCGGAAUUCCGGGUGUAGCGGUGGAAUGCGUAGAGAUCCGGAAGAACACCGGUGGCGAAGGCGGCCUGCUGGGCAGUAGCUGACGCUGAGGCGCGACAGCGUGGGGAGCAAACAGG